rnacentral:rRNA from 1 species
AUUGAACGCUGGCGGCAGGCCUAACACAUGCAAGUCGGACGGUAGCACAGAGGAGCUUGCUCCUUGGGUGACGAGUGGCGGACGGGUGAGUAAUGUCUGGGGAUCUGCCCGAUAGAGGGGGAUAACCACUGGAAACGAUGGCUAAUACCGCAUAACGUCGCAAGACCAAAGAGGGGGACCUUCGGGCCUCUCACUAUCGGAUGAACCCAGAUGGGAUUAGCUAGUAGGCGGGGUAAUGGCCCACCUAGGCGACGAUCCCUAGCUGGUCUGAGAGGAUGACCAGCCACACUGGAACUGAGACACGGUCCAGACUCCUACGGGAGGCAGCAGUGGGGAAUAUUGCACAAUGGGCGCAAGCCUGAUGCAGCCAUGCCGCGUGUAUGAAGAAGGCCUUCGGGUUGUAAAGUACUUUCAGCGGGGAGGAAGGCGACGCGGUUAAUAACCGCGUCGAUUGACGUUACUCGCAGAAUAAGCACCGGCUAACUCUGUGCCAGCAGCCGCCGUAA